UUCAGAUUUGAACGUGUUGAUCGUGCAGAGAUAGCAGAAGUUUCAUGCUAGACAGAGCACAAUUUCUUAUUGAUUACAUCCGGUUGGGAGGAAAAAGGAAAAACAAAAUUUAUUGACACAAACUAAUCUCCGUGUACAACACUCUUAUCUGCCAAAUAACAGUGGAUCCAUAUUCGGUAUUCAGGUACUGUUUUCAGCUCUAGAAGAUCUGAGUCAGCGGUUGGUUUCUCCAAGCACUUGCUUCUAAUCUCCUUGGUCUCACUCCGUCAAGACAUUGAUGUACUGAUGGACUGAUUAUCUGAACAAACUGUCUCUGCAUGAUGAUUACUGUUCAUCCUUGUUAUCAGUCACUUUUCCUUGAGGGAGAAUAAGAUUGUAAGGUCAGACUUCUAGCUGUGGUUCACAUAUUGCGUCUUUGUUUACUUGGCCCCAUGAUAUUUCCACAGUAAAAUAUGAUAGCAUGUCCUCUUAGCUA